rnacentral:rRNA from 1 species
GAUUAUGGCUCAGGAUGAACGCUAGCGGCAGGCUUAACACAUGCAAGUCGAGGGGCAGCGCGAGGUAGCAAUACUUGGCGGCGACCGGCGCAAGGGUGCGUAACGCGUGAGCAACUUGCCCGUAACAGGAGGAUAACCGGAGGAAACUCCGACUAAUACUGCGUAGUAAUAAUUGGUGGCAUCACCGAGUGUUUAAAGGCGAAAGCCGGUUACGGAUAGGCUCGCGUGACAUUAGCUUGAUGGCGGGGUAACGGCCCACCAUGGCGACGAUGUCUAGGGGUUCUGAGAGGAAGGUCCCCCACACUGGUACUGAGACACGGACCAGACUCCUACGGGAGGCAGCAGUGAGGAAUAUUGGACAAUGGUCGGAAGACUGAUCCAGCCAUGCCGCCGUGAAGGCUAAGGUCCUAUGGAUUGUAAACUUCUUUUGUACGAGGGGAAUUAGACGGACGUGUCCGUCGACGACAGUAUCGUACGAAUAAGCAUCGGCUAACUCCGUGCCAGCCGCCGC